GAAAUCACGAUAAAUCCUACUUGAUCUCGCGAGGAGAAAAGAGGUCUGCAAGUUAAUAAGGAAACUAGGUUGCUCGCACCGACGCGCUAGCCGGUUUGCAGGACGCGUCGGUGUACGCUACGCUUCGACGAGCCAUGCUCAUCGCGAGAUUGAACACAUCAUAUGAGACUCACGUUUAGCCGGGUAUCUUGAAAUCUCUGUACUAUAAUUACCAUGAAAAACGUUUAGUACUUUGUCAUAAACAACACUGAAGAAGAUAUGAACAGCUGCAAAGGGAUCGCGCGCAUUAUUCAUAACUUCUACGUAAGUCUGGUGAACGGACCGGCGUGUGUCUGGAACCGAUCAACUGUAAACGCAUCCGGUGGAAUCGAUAAGAUCAGUUAAUCGUCCAAAGGUUUCUGGGCAGACAUUGUCGUGGGUUCGUGGUAAAGAGAGAUCUUACGGCUGACGGCUAACGAGUUCGCGCGGCCUGCCAAUUAACUUGGGUAAUCGCGUUUAAUGGAGGACCCUCAGUGGCGUAUGCAGCGGUUCGUUUCUGAGCGGACUCGUGUGGCGUUUGGCUAUUGCAUUGACCAGUUAAUGGUGCUGGUGGACUGCACACACGCUUGGCCACCUACGUAUACCGUCAAAUACCCACGUAAAAGCGUGCAGCAUGGCUAGAAAAUGCGUUUGCUUGCGAUGAUUCCGUGUUGCGCUCGCGCUUCGAGCAAACGCGAUACAAACGCCCUCUUUUUCUCUCUUUCUUCUUCUCUUCCUCUCUCUUUCGUGCAACCGUGACGGCUAACGAACCCUGGACGCGCGCGUAUCGUAUCGAGCGGUGGCGCGUACGUUCAGGGACGUAUUACGUGUUACCAAGCGGCUUGUCCUGCUCGCAGACUUGAAAAUACACUUCUUUUUGUCCUUAUCGUAUAAAAUGAAUAUUUCAGGCUCCAAAGGUAUCAUAAAAAUUUCUAUUGAAGAACGCUAAUUUAAUUUUAUUAAUCUCGUUAAUCUCAUUAACAUUAUCAAUAUAAAGGUAUAGAUUUCGAUAUAUCUUCGUAAUUAAUAAAUAUUUAACUGUGUUUAUAGUUGUAAGAAAAGCAAGAAUUCACCGUGAACGAUGAAAGCCACGUCAUACAUUAAAUUAUACCGCUAUUUCGACGCAGUAACCGAUGCGGAAGGAAUUCUCUUUAGCGGUCAAGAUUUCGUGAACGAGUACCAAGAUUGCUUUCGUCAUUACGCUUCUGCAUGACAAGCGACAUCCCGAUUGUGAUACUUGACGAAUAAGGGGUGAUACAGUCGUGUUCAGAAGGCACUCUUUUCGUCAGGAACGUACGAUAAAUCUUCUACCAUUUGUUUAAUAAAUUAACGAUAUAUUACAAAAAAUUUUUUUAAAGAAAAGCAUAACAUUUUAUAUAUGUUCUAACAUCAAGCUUUUUAAUAUUUUCUUUUUAUUAAUCAUCCCAUUAUAUUCUAGAUUUAACUGUAGAUUGUGUCCUAGGUUCUAGUUCAGAAUCGACCUUGAGUGUGCUCGAAGAAGUCUUAGGAUAUUUCUCUUCCGGAACGUGAAUGAAAUAGCGGUGCGCGCGCGCCCCUUUGGAGCUGUCGUGUAAAUAUAUACGUGUCGGUUUUAUACAUGUAGGGUUGCAUCGGGGGAGCGGUCGACUGGUGGCAGACGGUUUCAUCGAUUGGCAAUGCGGGGGUCGAAGAGUGGGGUAUCUGAACUCUUCACAGCUAUCUAUGCGUACUACAUAACGUAUCGACGACCUCGGCUUUCAUGGUCAAUGGUAAAAAGAAAUCUAGCUCCCGACGAAAGGCAGUGAAUACUUGCGAUUACAAGAACAAAAGCGUGCUUGCCAGUCGGCAACCAGAAGCGCAUUCGUGUGCCUGAUGCGCGGCGGAGUGCAUCUGUCAAAACCACGCCCUUGUCCCAUCCUAUCAUCCUAACGGACUCACAAGAGCCCAGCGAUAAGUACUUACUUACUUCAUGGCCAAUGCUUCCAAAAUUCGUAUGAUUCAUUUAUCCCAAGCUUAAUUAUUAUUUCAAAUGUUUACCGGCAUAUACAAAAAUAUAUUUCUACGAAUUAUAAAGUGUGUAAAACACGAAGGGUGGUAAUAAUAAUAUUUCUUAUUUUAAAUAUUCAAAUAUCGCAAAAGUAUGAUAGUAAUUUAUACAAGACGCUACGAUAAAAUAUUUUAAACGCCUGUUAUAUAAAAGAAAAAAAAAAGAAAAAAUUUAUUAUUUCGUAUCAACGAUUCAGAUUCGUAGGUGUACAGAACGCGUAUGGAGAUUUGACCACACCCCUCCAUUUUCGAUCGGCGAAUAAUGAAGACGAUCGAUAUCCUCAAAAGUAUAUUAUCCUUAUGGCGAUUUCCAAGUUCAGGCGCAGGAAGAAUGAUUCGAGUGACUAACCAAUACCGAUCGUCUUCGACCAGUUUUCGUCUUCUUAAAAAACAUGCAAGUAUACACACACGAUACACGAUACCGCCUUUCUUCGAACGGCAACGAAGAAAGCCGGUUCGCUUUGAUACGUCAACGAAAAUAUCACCGUAUGCUUUUUUAUACACUUGAAAGCGCAUGCAAUUUAGAUGAUCGUAGAUAGAAUGCAUCGGCGGCAAAGAGCACUGACCUGUCAGUUGUCACUUAGAGAGAUAGGCAAGCGCAACACCUUCCAGCCAAACGUUCAAGGGCAGGAUGGAGGCAGUACACUGACUGACCGGCUAGUGAUUCCACGGGACGUAACACCAGGUAACACCGGCGAACCACUCUUCCACUCUUCCUUCUGCCGAUCCUACGCUCGCACCGUUCAACCCCACCACAAAUUCAGACCCCGAACGUUGGCCAAUCACGCACCAUCGUUUCACUCCCGUUCACUACUAAAUUCCUCCUUCCAUCCAUCGAACACUUCCUCCAAUGGUCUCCUUGACCGUCAUCGGGAGGGUGGCUGACUCACCCUUCGCGACAAGUAUGAUUUUGCAUUCGAUGCACGAAAAAGUUUCAUGUUUUUUAAGCGUAAAUUCGCUUUCAAUACUUUUAUUUCGUUAUUAGAUUAUGUUCUUUUUCUUCGUUUAGCAAUCAUUUAUACGAUGGAUAUUAUUCCUGGAUAAAUUGGAAUAGCAGUCGCAAGCAAAAGUACCGAAGAAAUGCACCGUUGCUAUUUCUGGCACAAUGGAAAGGGAACAGGGCCGAAGGACGUUCUAGGGGUUGACGAGAGCUGGAAUGACUCAUCUUCUAGUUAUCCCAGCUGCGCGUCAUAUGGCAGUCCCGUUGGGUGUUUCUAGCACUUUGAAAUAGCCCGGUAUAUUCGGAAAAAUUGACUUAUUUAAAGAAAGAGCAAUACUGUCUAUUACGGCGCUUUUCAAUAAAUGUUUCGUCUUCUAGUUGGAUCAAAUAAGUAUUAAUUAUAAAAAUGUAUUGAAGGAAAGGAAGUAUUCCUAUAAACUGAAAAAUAUCAUAUAAAUUUUAUUAUUUUUUA